GGAAGGAUCAUUAACGUGCUCUUAAAAAUCAAUUUUGUCGACUGUGAACUUGUUUGUUUGGACUUUAAAACACAAUGAUCAUCAGAUAAAGAGAAGUCUCUCUUUUGAGGCUCUUCUUUUGAUGAUCAUUAAACCACUUUAACCCCAAAAACCAAAAUAUUCUAUUCUCAUCAAACUUUUUUGACUUUUGUCAAAAAAAUAUAUAAACUGACGACUUUCAACGAUGGAUCUCUAGGCUCGUGUACCGAUGAAGAACGCUGCGAACUGCGAUACGUAAUGCGAAUUGUACAACUCAGUGAAUCAUCGAAUCUUUGAACGCACAUUGCGCUGCGACAGUUAAUGUCGUAGCAUGUCUGGUCGAGUGUCGUUUCCAAACCUCAUAUCACAAAUUUACUUUUGUAUAUGACACUUUAGUUGAGAGUUCAGUGCUUUGUUUUAUUAAAACAUUACAAGGUAUCGUCUCUUUAAAUUGAAAUGACACAAUUUAUCAAAAAAUGGACUUGUAAUCUCAAUUUUUUGUUAAAACUAUCAAGUCCCAUGUGGUAAACGCCUCAUGGUUCAACUUUGGUGGACCUUUAACUUGACUUUGGGUUCUAUUUUUUGGUGUCGAUUCGAAAAACACACACACAAAAGGAACAAAUGCAUUCAUUUGCAUUUGUCUCUCUUGUUGUAUAUAAACUUUUUCGGACAGACCUCGGCUCAGGCAAGGCUACCCGCUGAAUUUAAGCAUAUAAUUAAGCGGAGGAAAAGAAACUAACAAGGAUUCCCUUAGUAACGGCGAGUGAAGAGGGAAGAGCUCAAGCUUAAAACCUGUGCGCAAGCACCGGAUUGUAGCCUAAAGAAGGAAUGUCCUGGCAAACGGUGACCUAAAUGCUUAGGAAUAAGCUGCCAAAGAGGGUGAGAGCCCCGUUCAUGGUUGCCGAUCUUGUCUUUUGUGAUAUCCUUUCAUUGAGUCAGGUUGCUUGAGAGUGCAGCCUAAAGUGGGUGGUAUACUUCAUCUAAAGCUAAAUAUUGACACGAGACCGAUAGCGAACAAGUACCGUGAGGGAAAGAUGAAAAGAACUUUGAAAAGAGAGUUAAACAGUGCGUGAAAUCGUUGAAAGGGAAGCUGAUGGGUGCAGUGUCUCGUACGGUUAGCAUCUUAGCCUAAACUUGUUGAAGGCUUUUGUAAGUCAGUGUUAAAGCGGCUUGCAGGAGUUCAGAAGCAAGGAUGGGUGCACUAUGCUGAUUGGGGCCUCUGAAUGCGUUAGAUGAGUAGGACAAAACUUGAACACGGUAAAAUCGCUCCGGCUUUUUGAAGUGUCAGGGAAAACUGCUUGUCUGACGGAGGGAUUAAGAGCUCGGCUCAGCCGUGUCUUUGGUCUAUUGGUUGGUAUUUGAUUUGCUGCACUUCUUUGAAGUUCUGUGAGUUAGAGUGCUGCUGGUAGGUUAAAGGCACAGAGUUCUCUAGAUUCAGAGUAAAUGUUCUCAUCAGACCCGUCUUGAAACACGGACCAAGGAGUCUAACAUGUAUGCGAGUCGUAGGGUGGAAAACCUGAAGGCGUAAUGAAAGUAAAGGCAGGCUCGGUCUGCUAAGGUGGGAUCCGGACCCCUCGGGGAAAGGUGCACCAUCAACCGAUCAUGAUCCUCGGUGAUUGAUUUGAGUGUAAGCAUAUCUGUUGGUACCCGAAAGAUGGUGAACUAUGCCUGUAUAGGGUGAAGCCAGUGGAAACUCUGGUGGAGGCUCGUAGCGAUACUGACGUGCAAAUCGUUCGUCAAAUAUGGGUAUAGGGCGAAAGACUAAUCGAACCAUCUAGUAGCUGGUUCCCUC
rnacentral:misc_RNA from 1 species